GCUUUUCGAUGUUGUGGCUUUUACUCAUGUGAUGCAUCUCGCAGCUCAAGCUGGUGUCAGAUACGCUAUGGAGAAUCCUAUGUCAUAUGUUAACAGUAACAUCGCCGGUUUAGUCACGCUUCUUGAAGCUUGCAAAACGGCGAACCCUCAACCGUCGAUUGUUUGGGCUUCUUCGAGUUCGGUUUAUGGUUUAAACGAGAAAGUUCCGUUUUCUGAAUCGGAUCGGACCGAUCAACCGGCGAGUUUAUAUGCAGCGACGAAGAAAGCAGGUGAAGAAAUCACUCACACUUAUAAUCACAUUUACGGUCUUUCAAUCACCGGUUUACGAUUUUUUACUGUUUAUGGACCAUGGGGAAGACCAGACAUGGCUAUUUUUACUUUCACUAGAAAUAUGCUUCAGGGAAAACCGAUUACGGUUUAUCGGGGUAAGAACCGGGUUGAUCUGUCACGUGACUUCACCUACAUUGAUGAUAUAGUGAAGGGAUGUGUUGGAUCAUUGGAUACUUCUGGUAAGAGUACUGGAUCAGGUGGGAAGAAACGUGGAGCAGCACCGUAUCGGAUCUUUAAUCUGGGGAAUACUUCGCCGGUGACGGUGCCGACACUUGUGAGUAUACUUGAGCGACUAUUGAAGGUGAAGGCGAAGAAGAAUAUCGUAGAUAUGCCUGGAAACGGUGAUGUUCCUUUCACUCAUGCUAAUAUCACUUCGGCUCGAAGAGAAUUCGGGUAUAAACCCACUACAGAUAUUCAAACCGGGUUAAAAAAAUUCGUCAAGUGGUAUCUCUCUUAUUAUGGUUAUGGCAAAACUACUUUAAAUUAAUUAUUAUUGAAUUUUUUUCUUAGUUUUUUUUAGGAUUUUAAUUUACAGUCAUGGACAGAAAAAAGGAAAGAAGUCCAAAAAGAAGGAAGAAUAUAUUCUUUAGUAUUAUUCUUUACUUGAGAAGAGGUGACAGCUAGCUAAAUCAUACAGCUGUUCCUUGACUGAUUUCUUUUCUUCUUUUAUUUUUGUUAUUUUAC
rnacentral:lncRNA from 1 species